rnacentral:rRNA from 1 species
CCUACGGGUGGCAGCAGUGAGGAAUAUUGGUCAAUGGACGAGAGUCUGAACCAGCCAAGUAGCGUGAAGGAUGACUGCCCUAUGGGUUGUAAACUUCUUUUAUAUGGGAAUAAAAUGUUCCACGUGUGGGAUUUUGUAUGUACCAUAUGAAUAAGGACCGGCUAACUCCGUGCCAGCAGCCGCGGUAAUACGGAGGGUCCGAGCGUUAUCCGGAUUUAUUGGGUUUAAAGGGAGCGUAGGUGGAUUGUUAAGCCAGUUGUGAAAGUUUGCGGCUCAACCGUAAAAGUGCAGUUGAAACUGGCAGUCUUGAGUACAGGAGAGGUAUGCGGAAUGCGUGGUGUAGCGGUGAAAUGCUUAGAUAUCACGAAGAACUCCGAUUGCGAAGGCAGUUCACUGGACUGCAACUGACGCUGAGGCUCGAAAGCGUGGGUAUCGAACAGGAUUAGAUACCCCGGUAGUC